ensembl:lncRNA
UUUAAAGCCACUCAAGUUAAACUUAACACAUCAUAAACAGUACUCAACAAGUAAUGCUUGGAAGUAUUUGAAGAUAUUUUUAGGAGUGCUCCCCCCAAAGUCCUGGAUUUACCGUUUUGUAAAGCAGUCUUGCAUGAAGCCACAGACACUGGAGUUUGUGAACCAAUCUGUACCUGGUACCUCUUUGCCCUGAGCCUCAUGGGUCCCAUGGGCCCCAGAACAAUCUGUAUUCCCCUGCUUGAAGAUGAUAGCAUAAUGUCAGUGUACUUAAAAUUCAAUUUCAUUCUUCCUCAUCUGUGCUCCAUUAUGCAAGCCUUUGAGACAGUCUCCAAAGAAGUUGUUCCAGAUUGUGAAAUAAAUAGAAGCAAUGUCCAAGAAGGCCUGAACAGAAGUUGUUUAUCACCCCCAAAAGAGCAAGGCGAUGGAUUCGGACAAGAAGCUGCACCUCAAGACAGAAUGAAUGAGGAUGAACCAAA